CCCUUCUUUCCUUUUUAGAUUAAAACUGAAAACUCCUCUCUCUCUCUUUUGAUUUGGCUGAAUCGGAGCAACGGCGACGUCACGGCUGUCACGUUACCGCCGCCGCCGCCGACGACGAGCCACCAAGGCUCCGCCGCUGACCGCCGUCUGAAAACAGAUCGGAGCCACCGCGGCUCCGUCGCCGUCCGUUGACCGCCGGCGACGACGAGUCACCAAGGCUGCCGCCUCCCUCUGAUCUCGACUCACACACACAAGGCAGGGUCAGCCCCCCCUUCAAAGGUUUCAAGCCUCAAAUUCAGUCGAACACUUAGCACAUAGGAUUUGAGCAAAAAUCAAAUACUGUAAAUUUCAGUUCAUACGUUAAUACAUGUAAAUUUUUCUUUUGGAUCAUUCUCGUUUGGUGGUUCUCUGAUAUAUUGGAUAAAAGGGGAAUACCUUGAAUA